rnacentral:rRNA from 1 species
GAUGAACGCUGACAGAAUGCUUAACACAUGCAAGUCAACUUGAACUUCGGUUUGGGUGGCGGACGGGUGAGUAACGCGUAAAGAACUUGCCUCACAGCUAGGGACAACAUUUGGAAACGAAUGCUAAUACCUGAUAUUAUGAUUAUAUGGCAUCGUAUAAUUAUGAAAGCUAUAUGCGCUGUGAGAGAGCUUUGCGUCCCAUUAGCUAGUUGGAGAGGUAACAGCUCACCAAGGCGAUGAUGGGUAGCCGGCCUGAGAGGGUGAUCGGCCACAAGGGGACUGAGACACGGCCCUUACUCCUACGGGAGGCAGAAGUGGGGAAUAUUGGACAAUGGACCGAGAGUCUGAUCCAGCAAUUCUGUGUGCACGAUGAAGUUUUUCGGAAUGUAAAGUGCUUUCAGUUGGGAAGAAAAAAAUGACGGUACCAACAGAAGAAGUGACGGCUAAAUACGUG